rnacentral:rRNA from 1 species
AUUGAACGCUGGCGGCAGGCUUAACACAUGCAAGUCGAACGAGUGGAGGACGGGUGAGUAAUGCUUGGGAAUCUGGCUUAUGGAGGGGGAUAACGACGGGAAACUGUCGCUAAUACCGCGUACCAUAGGAUGAGCCCAAGUGGGAUUAGGUAGUUGGUGGGGUAAGGGCCUACCAAGCCGAAGUACUCUGGAGGGUCUGAGAGGAUGACCGGCCACACCGGGACUGGGACACGGCCCGAAAUCCUACGGGAGGCAGCAGUGGGGAAUAUUGCGUAAUGGGGGCAACCUGACGAAGCCAUGCCGCGUGAAUGAAGAAGGCCUUCGGGUUGUAAAGUUCUUUCGGUGACGAGGCGUUAAUCACAGAAGAAGCACCGGCUAACUCCGUGCCAGCCGCCGCGGUAAUAC